UCCCCAGGUUAAGCCCGGGGAUUUCACAUCCAACUUAACAGACCGCCUGCGUGCGCUUUACGCCCAGUCAUUCCGAUUAACGCUUGCACCCUCCGUAUUACCGCGGCUGCUGGCACGGAGUUAGCCGGUGCUUCUUCUGCGGGUAACGUCAAUGGACAAGGUUAUUAACCUUGUCGCCUUCCUCCCCGCUGAAAGUGCUUUACAACCCGAAGGCCUUCUUCACACACGCGGCAUGGCUGCAUCAGGGUUUCCCCCAUUGUGCAAUAUUCCCCACUGCUGCCUCCCGUAGGAGUCUGGACCGUGUCUCAGUUCCAGUGUGGCUGGUCAUCCUCUCAGACCAGCUAGGGAUCGUCGCCUAGGUGAGCCGUUACCUCACCUACUAGCUAAUCCCAUCUGGGUUCAUCCGAUGGCGUGAGGCCCGAAGGUCCCCCACUUUGGUCUUGCGACGUUAUGCGGUAUUAGC
rnacentral:rRNA from 1 species